UACAGAGGUCCCAAGCGUUGUUCGGAUUCACUGGGCGUAAAGGGUGCGUAGGCGGUCAGGUAAGUCUGAUGUGAAAUCUCUGGGCUUAACCCAGAAAUGGCAUUGGAUACUAUUUGGCUUGAGAGUUGGAGGGGGGACUGGAAUUCUUGGUGUAGCAGUGAAAUGCGUAGAUAUCGAGAGGAACACCAGUGGCGAAGGCGAGUCCCUGGACAACUUCUGACGCUGAGGCACGAAAGCUAGGGGAGCAAACAGG
rnacentral:rRNA from 1 species